UGGUGGGAGGCGGUGGCUCAGCUUGCAUGUGCUCGCUUCCCCGAGCUCUUCUUUCAGCUCCUCCAGCUCCGGGCCUAGUGUUGUGCUUAACUCCAUGCCAAAGCCUUCCUCGUCUUACUGGCAUCUGCGGGACACUCAUCCCAUCAAGAAUACACCACAAGGACCAUUUGACUGUCCCCUCUGGCUUCUGCAUCUUGCUUCCAGCAUGAACAGACAGAUGAACCAUCAUGUGGUCUUCUGGAAGCUGUUUGAAAGCAAGAGCAGUUGCCCUGGAGAGAGAGAAUGGUGUCCGAAAACAGGGGAGAGAUAAUGGUGUCUGAAACAGGCCCGGAAGAGUGAAAUGGGGGAGUUGUGAUAGACACAGCCUGAAGACUUUUAAGUGUUAAGGGGGAAUAUUGUCUCCACAUCAAAGAAACUGCCUCCAACAAGUUCAAGACCUGUUCAGGCCCAGUUGGAACUGUCUGUGCUCUGAGAGGUGACUUUCGCUCACCAUUGCCUCCUGACCACCUAACAUAUGGUCUGCUAAGUUGUUGAAACUUAAGUAGUUGCUGAACAGCUGACGCAGUGACAAGCUGGAGCUUAAACCCAGGACCUUUUAUCUCAAGGUGCAGUGUCGCUUGCCUUCCUGACCGAGGAAAAAACAAGUUAAAAGCCCAGCUUUGCUGUGGACCUGACCAUUGAAACUUCGCUCCAAAGCAGUUAGGGGUCCUAAUGGCUACCCUGGGCUUGGAGAGCUGGGUAUUGAGUAAGGUUGAAUAGGCCGGUAGGUGAGAUUCAGGGACUA